GGCCGACUGGCGAAAUGGCAUCGCGUCUGACUACGAUUCAAGACGAAAUGGUAUCAGGAGAUUGCAGGUUCGACCCCUGCGUCGGUCA
rfam:Postia placenta Mad-698-R POSPLscaffold_15_Cont1178, whole genome shotgun sequence.